AUAUUGCACAAUGGGCGCAAGCCUGAUGCAGCGACGCCGCGUGAGGGAUGACGGCCUUCGGGUUGUAAACCUCUUUCAGCAGGGAAGAAGCGCAAGUGACGGUACCUGCAGAAGAAGCGCCGGCUAACUACGUGCCAGCAGCCGCGGUAAUACGUAGGGCGCAAGCGUUGUCCGGAAUUAUUGGGCGUAAAGAGCUCGUAGGCGGUCUGUCGCGUCUGGUGUGAAAUCCCGAGGCUCAACCUCGGGCUUGCAUCUGGUACGGGCAGACUAGAGUGCGGUAGGGGAGACUGGAAUUCCUGGUGUAGCGGUGGAAUGCGCAGAUAUCAGGAGGAACACCGAUGGCGAAGGCAGGUCUCUGGGCCGCAACUGACGCUGAGGAGCGAAAGCAUGGGGAUCGAACAGGAUUAGAUACCCUGGUAGUCCAUGCCGUAAACGUUGGGCACUAGGUGUGGGGCUCAUUCCACGA
rnacentral:rRNA from 1 species